rnacentral:tRNA from 1 species
CACGGGAAAUGGUCGGGAAGCUACA